rnacentral:rRNA from 1 species
AUUGAACGCUGGCGGCAUGCUUUACACAUGCAAGUCGAACGGCAGCGCGGGCUUCGGCCUGGCGGCGCGUGGCGAACGGGUGAGUAAUACAUCGGAACGUGCCCAGUAGUGGGGGAUAGCUCGGCGAAAGCCGGAUUAAUACCGCAUACGACCUGAGGGUGAAAGCGGGGGAUCUUCGGACCUCGCGCUUUUUGAGCGGCCGAUGGCAGAUUAGCUAGUUGGUGGGGUAAAGGCCUACCAAGGCGACGAUCUGUAGCUGGUCUGAGAGGACGACCAGCCACACUGGGACUGAGACACGGCCCAGACUCCUACGGGAGGCAGCAGUGGGGAAUUUUGGACAAUGGGCGAAAGCCUGAUCCAGCAAUGCCGCGUGUGUGAUGAAGGCCUUCGGGUUGUAAAGCACUUUUGGCGGGAACGAAAAGGACUGUGCCAAUACCACGGUUCGAUGACGGUACCCGCAGAAUAAGCACCGGCUAACUACGUG